UACGUAGGGUGCAAGCGUUAAUCGGAAUUACUGGGCGUAAAGCGUGCGCAGGCGGUUAUGCAAGACAGAUGGGAAAUCCCCGGGCUCAACCUGGGAACUGCAUUUGUGACUGCAUGGCUAGAGUGCGGCAGAGGGGGAUGGAAUUCCGCGUGUAGCAGUGAAAUGCGUAGAUAUGCGGAGGAACACCGAUGGCGAAGGCAGGUCUCUGGGCUGACACUGACGCUCAUGCACGAAAGCGCGGGGAGCAAACAGG
rnacentral:rRNA from 1 species